rnacentral:lncRNA from 1 species
UUGGGCUCAAGCUAUCCUCCCACCUCAACCUCCUGAGUAGCUGAGACCACAGGCAUGCACCACCAUGGCUGGCUUUUUUGUUUGUUUGUUUUGUUUUUGUGAUAGCUUUGGUCCCAAUAUUUGGGGGAAUUUUAUUUUGAACAUCCAGAGGGGAGAUAAGAUAAUCUACUCUGCAACAAAGUCUAAACUCAGAUAUCUCUAUUUCUGAUUUCCUGAAAACGAAACAAAGGCUGAAGUAAGAAAGACAUUACCAUGGCUAAUACAAACUGCUGUCUUCAGCGUUUGUCUCAAGUUCUUUCAUAAACUGGACUCUCAAGGUGCUGUGGCUCACGC